GAUGAACGCUAGCUACAGGCUUAACACAUGCAAGUCGAGGGGCAGCAUAUAGAUAGCUUGCUAUUUAUGAUGGCGACCGGCGCACGGGUGAGUAACGCGUAUCCAACCUUCCCCGUAGUAGGGCACAGCCCGGCGAAAGUCGGAUUAAUUCCCUAUGUUCUCCAAUGCAGACAUCUAAGUUGGAGCAAAGAUUCAUCGCUAUGGGAUGGGGAUGCGUCUGAUUAGGUUGCAGGCGGGGUAACGGCCCACCUGGCCAACGAUCAGUAGGGGUUCUGAGAGGAAGGUCCCCCACAUUGGAACUGAGACACGGUCCAAACUCC
rnacentral:rRNA from 1 species